rnacentral:piRNA from 1 species
UACAAAUGGUUGAUGCAAUGGCUGCUC